UGCGCCUCCUUGCACCUGCGCCUGUGCUUUUCUCUCAGCACAGCGGACGCGACUCGAGGGUGACGCUCGCUCCGCUCGUCAUGGCCUACCCGGGAUACGGAGGAGGGUUUGGAAAUUUUAGCAUUCAGGUGCCAGGAAUGCAGAUGGGACAGCCAGUGCCAGAAACAGGCCCAGGUAUACUCCUCGAUGGAUACUCUGGGUGCCCAGCAUUUUCAGACACUUAUUCCUCAGCUGGUGACUCCGUGUAUACUUACUUCAGUGCUGUUGCUGGACAGGAUGGUGAAGUGGAUGCUGAAGAACUUCAGAGAUGUUUGACACAGUCUGGAAUUAGUGGAACUUACUCUCCCUUCAGUUUGGAAACCUGCAGAAUUAUGAUUGCCAUGUUGGAUAGAGAUUACACAGGAAAAAUGGGAUUUAAUGCAUUCAAAGAGCUAUGGUCAGCUCUUAAUGCCUGGAAGGAAAACUUCAUGACUGUUGAUCAAGAUGGAAGUGGCACAGUAGAACAUCAUGAGUUGCGUCAAGCCAUUGGUCUUAUGGGUUAUAGGUUGAGUCCUCAAACAUUAACUACUAUUGUUAAACGUUAUAGCAAGAAUGGCAGAAUUUUCUUUGAUGAUUAUGUUGCUUGCUGUGUGAAGCUUCGAGCAUUGACAGGUAUUGACUAUUUAAAACUAGGUGUACAGUAUUAUGUAGCUAUUUUUCUUGAAUAAUGUGUCUCAUUUCCUCCAGCAAGUUUAUAAUAAUGUGUGUUUUCCCCCUUUAUUCACUGUUAAAUCUAAUUAGUUUUAAGCCUUCAAAUAUUAAGGAAUAUAAAUGAUAAAAACUUGUUAUGUUAUUUUUGGAAGUUUUUCUUCAUAUCUCUGUUGCCUGGGCUAUUCAAUCACUUAAUAUUUAAUUGAAUAUGAAAUUAUUCUUUUUUUGUACCUGGGGGCACUAAAUAUUUGAAACUAUGUAUUUUAAAUUACAAUAAAAAAGUAAUUUCUUUGUUUAAAGAUUUCUUUAGGAAAAGAGACCACUUGCAACAAGGGUCUGCGAAUUUCAUAUAUGACGAUUUUUUGCAGGGCACUAUGGCAAUUUGAAUGUUUAGAAUUUUAAACCUGAAGAGACACUGAAUUCUUUUGCUUGGAAGAAGUGAACCGGACGACUUUAAAACUUUUAAGAGUUUUCUAUGUUCUUCCUACCUGUUAAACCUCUUACCUUUCUGUGUGUUUUUAUUUUAGCAGAUAGUUAAAAGCAAUAAAAGAUUUUUUUUUAACUUGAGGUAUUACUGCUUUUGGAAAAGUUAUUUUAUAAAUAUGUGCAUAUUGUCAUAAAAUAUUGUAUGAUUAAUUGAUUUAAAUAAUGCUUAGCCUUAAUUUUAAAUAAUGUAAAUUUAGAGGAAUGUACUUUACAAGAUAGAUUGUAUAAGAAGCCAAAUGAUGAAAGCCUAGAAAAAACUAAUUUAUACUUAUCUGAAGGUUACAAAUUAGACUUUUAAAUUUUGUUUGUAGUUGGUGGUGUUUGAGGGUCGGCUAGAAAUGAAAGCCUGGAUUUUGUGCUGUGUUUGUAAUAUAGUUUGUUCCUUGAUCAAAUAAUCAGAGAAAAGAAACUUAAAGAUCUUUGUCCGUGAAGAAGAAAAUUAUCUCCCUAGUCAAAUCUGUAGUCAAAUAAGACUACAGAAGGCAUUAUUUUUUCCUUUUUUAUUUUUUGUAGUAUAUAUUUUUCUUAAAUAUGUUUUAUUGUCUUCUCUAAGCAAAAAGUUCUUAAUAAACAUAGUAUUUCUCUCUGCACCCUAUUUCAUUAGUGAAGACAUAGUUCACUUAAA
rnacentral:sRNA from 1 species